GUACUCCCAUCCCUCUUUGAACUUAGCACACUCGCCACUGAGUACCACUGUGACUGGACUAGGUUUUCUUUGGGCUUGAGUUGCAGGGAAAGUCCUUGCCUGAGCCUGGCUGCCUCCCAGCCACGUCCUUCAUCCAGCGAAGACAAGGCCCGUCCCCUCAGCGGCGCUGGCUCACAUCGGCAUUGCUCCUUGCAGGGACAGAAGGAUCACUCACUCUUGGAGAGAAGCUCAGACAUGACUCUCCAGCAUUCAGGAUGCAUCAGAGACUCUGCUCCUGAUUCUACGUGGAUUGGUGUUCCCAUGUUUUAAACUGAAGAAGUUGAUCGAUCUAUAGGAUAUAAGUAGGUGUUUUGGAUCGAUCAGAACAGACAGGCUCUGGGGAAGUUCAGCCUGGACAAGAAGAAAUGACGUGGAAUGCAAGAGAAUACCUCAAGUGCAGGACAAGUGUCUGUGAAAGAAGGGAUGCCAGAGAAUUCCCUUCCCCUCCAACAAACGAAGACACAGGAAGGUGGCCAGCUGCCUGCAAGCCAGGAAGAGAGGUAUCGCCAAGAAACAGAUGACUGACAGCUGGACCUGGGAUCUCCAGCCUGCAGAACUGAGCUCCAUUGGAGACCCUUGUGAUGCUGGAAAUUUGGCAGCUUCCAGAAUUAGAGCAGCCUUGGUCAGUGGUUGCUCAUCCUAGCAUCCUUCCACACUGCCAUCAUUACACCCCGUGUAAGUGAAAUCACAUGUGCAGGAAUGUGUUCUAGUUCAGUCCCUUCAGAGGAGAGAAACCAGAACAGUGAUGAUCUGCCACAGCUUACAUGUCAGCAGCUAGCUUGGAAAUUGGCUAAGGUGAAGCUGAAAAGCUUUCACAGUCCCCAGAUGCUUCCAUGGUCCCCAACUGCAAAUACUGGAAAGAAAGCGCUGGGGGGAAAGAUGAGUCUUUCUUUUUCCUCCAAGUAUUAGAAAUGGAGUUUUAGUUGAAAGCUGCAAAGAGAUAGAUUUAGGCUCAAUACAAGGAAGAACCUCUAUUCAGAAUGAACUUUUUGAAUGUCCUGCUGUGGUGUGAGCUGUCAAGCAGCGAUGUGAUGGUGACAUAGUUGGCAGAAUUUUAGGAAAGAUUCAAACAUCCAUCAUGUUGGAGGUUGGACUGAAUGAGAAUUACGGCUUCUUUCAAUUCUGAGGUUCUAUCCCCAGAACCAAAGGCCAGAAUUGCUGUGGCUUUUAGCAGGUCAUUAUUGGCCUGUGGUCUCCUACUCAGGGCAGAGCAGAGCUAGACCAGCCCAAGGUUGUCUCUUAUGAAGGCCUCUGAUGAAGAAAACGUAUUAGCUCAUGUGCUGUGUGACCCUGUCUCUAAAUAUUUCUGAGAUGGAAGAAAUAGAGCAGAUUCCCCACAUGGAUCUGGGUCUCCUUGUCCUUGCUACACUGUCAAAGUCAGCUCUGAUGUGUUUUCUUCAAACUCAAAUAUACAUUACUAAAGACAAUUCAAAAUAUUGUCCCUUCAAGGAGUAAGGCUGUUCAGGGGUUAAUAAUGACUCCUAUUUGUUAAAUAUAUGCUAUAUGCGAAGCACUAUACUAAGCAGUUGGUUAUAUUUAUUCAUUUCAUUUUCAAAAUAACUCUACCAGUGGGUGUGAUGGUAUCAGUUUCUACAUGGGGAAACACACAGUAAGUUAAUAGUCACAGUCAAUGAAUUGGUGGAGGUGAGACUCAAUCCAGGAAUAACAAAACCAGAAUUAGUAGCCAUGAUGGGAGGCUGCCUCUCCAAGGCUAAGAAAAAAUUUGAGUCAUGUGUCAUAAUUCUGAUAGCAACAUUGCUGCCCAUGCUUUUAGAAUAGCUGAACAGCCCCCAGUGUGGAGAAGCCUCAGUGUAGAGCAGUCCCCAAUGUUGAGCAGCCACAGUGUAGAGCAGCCCCUGCUGUAGAGCAGCCCCAGGGUAGAGCAGUCCCAGGGUAGAGCAGCCCCUACUGUAGAGCAGCCCCAGGGUAGAGCAGCCCCUACUGUAGAGCAGCCCCAGGGUAGAGCAGCUCUUAUCGUAGAGCAGCCCCAGGGUAGAGCAGCCCUAGUGUAGAGCAGCUCCUACUGUAGAGCAGCCCCAGGGUAGAGCAGCUCCUACUGUAGAGCAGCCCCAGGGUAGAGCAGCCCCAGUGUAGAGCAGCCCCUACUGUAGAGCAGCCCCUGUGUAAAGAAGCCCCUGCUGUAGAGCAGCCCCAGUGUACAGCAGCCCCCACUGUAGAGCAGCCCCAGGUUAGAGCAACCCCCACUGUAGAGCAACCCCAGGGUAGAUCAGCCCCUACUGUAGAGAAGCUCCUACUGUAGAGCAGCCCCAGUGUAGAGCAGCCCUAUUGUAGAGAAGCCCCCAGUGUAGAGCAGCCCCAGUGUAGAACAGCCCCUACUAUAGAGCAGCCCCUGUGUAGAGCAGCUCCCCAGACUGAAGAAGGCCGUGAAUUUCGGACAAUGGAAGGAACCAUUAUUUAGUGUUGACACUAUUUUUUGGACUACUGACAACCACAGUCUGAUCACAUAAAUCCAGCCUUACUUCACCUGGCUCAUUUGCAGAGAAUAACAAGUACGCAUGCCGAUGUGGAUACAACCAGAGAGGCCGCAUACAAGGGAGGGGAGGGAAAGGCAUUUUACUGGUAUCUCAAAGAAACAAAGCUCCACACAUUUAUUAUGUUUUUCCUUGUUACAAAAAUAAUAUUUCUUCACUGUAAAACAAAUUGGAAAAUAUGGAAAAGCACAAAAAAAGAAGAUAUCACCUGCAAUCCUCAGACUGCCCAGUGGCCCAGAUGACCACUGGGAACGCUCAGGCACACAGACUUUCAGCCACGUACUGGAGGGCUGCUCCUUGGUCCCGGGAAAGCCAGGACUUGGACGUGACCCAGAUGCACUAGUCCUCUGGGAGGAGAGCUACCGAGGCUGAAGAGAGGUUUGACCCUGCAAUUAUAUCUUCUUGGCCCGUGGGUGUCCCUUAGCUGUGAAGAGAUGGCCAGGUGAAGGGAGUAGGUGCUGCUCCCCUGACCACCUCGCCUGCCUGGAAGCCACCACUCAUCCUCUCACCUUCCUGGCACCCCUCCAGUGGGGGUCAGUCUGCGGUGCUCCCCACAUGGCCUCCAGGUCUCAGGUGACAGUGGGCCCUGGGGAAGGGGAGCACCACAGAGGGAGCUGGAAAUUGCCCCUAGACAUGUCCUCUGGCCUUCAGCAUGAGGAACGGAACUGUCCAUGGCCUUAGGAGGGAACUCAAGGAGCCAGAAAGGAGUCCUGAGGGGGCAGUGGGGUAGUGGGGAGCAGGGGUGGCUUAAAGUACUUGCAUUUGUCCACCUCAGUCUUUACAAAGACUAUUUAACUGAGGUGGUUCUAUUAUUCCACUCAGCUGUUUUGAAUCGGAUUGAAGCAUUUGCCUGGAAUUUUGUUGGGAAAAAAAAAAACAAUUGGUGGGGAGAUUCUGGAAAUCAUCGGUGGCUGUUUAUGAUGUAAAACCUGUCUUUACCAAGGGAGCCUGGGGUUGGAAAAAGUCAAAGCACCUCCUGCUUUAUGGUCUUGAGCCACUCUGAACCUUGCUCCUCACUCAUAAAAACAGGUGAUAAUAAAACUUCUGUCACACAUGUGGGAUGAAAGGUCUAAUUGCUUUCUCUGAAGGGAGCAACGGUCUUUCCCUGGGAGAGGGGUCUGUGGAAGCUGUCAUUCUCCUCAGCAAACCCUCCCUUUUCUGAGCCCUAAACUCAGCACUGCGUUUUCAUGAGCUCCAUCCCAGCAACUGAGCUCGGGGCUCUUGACUCACGCUAACAAAGUCUCCGGAGGCGUGUGAAGGAGUUGUCCUGUGAGAAGGGUGCGUGGAAGUUGCUCAGGCCCCUCCAGUGCCUUCGUUCUCUGUGAGCAAUCUCUGCAGGUAAAAUCAUUUAUCAGAAGGAUGUGUGGGGACCGUGGUGUCAGACCAGAGAAAGUAAUUCUAUGACUCAAGUGUUUGCCAGCUGACCCAGUGACACAUUCACUUCCAAGGCAGGCGUUUGCCUGUCAGACAGACGGACACUCAUCUGGCCCUGAUGGGGCAGCCUGAAGAGGCCCCUCUUCUCAGAAUGCACAAUACAAUUGAUUGGGCUUCUUUUACAAUCCUGCUCCAAUUUCAUCUCCCUGAGAUUGCUCCCAGAUCACCUUGACUGGAGUUUUGGGUGUUCCACACCCUUGACUCACACAAUUAUAGAUAAUAUCUGUGUUUACUUUUACAGUUGCCUAAUUACUUCCAUUGUGUGUGGGUUUUACUAGGUUUAACACUCAGUGGACAACUGUAUUCCCUCAAGUUCUGGGUGUGUCUCACCCCCUUAUGGGCUGCAAUGUAGAUGGGAAAGCUGCCAGAACCACCGGGAUUAUUCACACAGUGGGAAGGUCACCACUGCGUGCUGGGGGUAACAAAGCCAGGUCUCUGACCUCAGUUUCCAGAUGGGAGCCUGGCUCACCAGCAGCACCCCUCUGGCUCCCUUGGGUGCAAGGGCAUCAGACUAUUUAGGAAAGUGCAGGGAGCACUUACUUGAUGAUCAGUGUCCAAUAUUCUGUCUGGAUUCUGUUUGGGCUUGUAUUGGUCUGUUAUGUAAGCGAUCUCUUGACAUCUGUUAACUGAUCUCCAGCAUUCCUGCAGUGGGCGGAUUUCAGCUGUCUUCCCAGUUGGCGCAGCACGUCAGUCAGUGAGUUGUAUAAAUAUUUAUUCAGUGCCCACUAAUUGACCAGGUAAACAGAGAAGGCCACAGACCUGAGAUCAUGGUCUUUGAGGAGAAAAAAGCCCUGAGUGUUUGGUCAGCACAAACUGUCAGUGAUGAUAAGCUGUAGAAUCUUUGGGGAGGCAGGAGGGGGAGGCUCUUUGGUUGUUAGAAAACUACCUUUUUCUCUCUAGUCAUUAGGCUUCUUGAUUCUGAUAAUUGAAAAUCACCAGCAAAAGCCACAGGAUGACCCCUUCAAGGUGAUUCCCAAAUGGGGAGCAGUGGAGGCUGGGCAUUAAUUACAAGGCCCCAGGACUAGGUCCCUCUUCUAUCCUAUGGCCUGCCCUGGGCUUUGCUUCUCUCCCAGCUCUGGACUGUCUGCAAACAGGAGACUGUGUCUUUGCUCUUCCUUUCCAGCCCUCUCUGUCCUCCCAACCCAUGGAGCUCCAUCCUGACCGGAGUGUUCUAUGACUCAGCACUUCCCUGGGCCCCGUGGCAACCUGAGCAUAGUGGGUCUGCAGGAGUGCCCUCUGUCUUAUGCUGGACCCUGCUCUGUUGCCUCCUGCUUAAUACCGGAGACUUAAUCCUGACUUAACAAAAUGGGGCGUCGUUUGUGCUGAGUAGUGCCCAGUGCAUGAAGGGAGAGCCGGUUGCUUGUUUCCCUCGAACACAUUAAAAUCAAUGGUGUUUGCUCAUCUGGCAGAAUGACAACUCAUUCCUCUGGACAGCUGGCUUCACAAUUGCUCGUUCAGGAGGAAAUCUGAUAAGAAACAAUAGUCUGGUCUUCGGGAGCAUUACACCGUUGUAUUCUAAUUUAAACUUCAGGCCCGCUGACUGUCUGUUUUGUCAUCUCCUUUAGAGUGGUGUUUUUUGUUUGUAUUUUU